AUGAAAAAAAUAAUACAGCGGAGAGAGGGAUCGCCUUCCCGGCGUGCGGCAGAUUGUACGGUCCAAGGCGGCGCGGCGCGCUCCGUCCGGUACAAUAGAAGUUUUCCUCCUUUAAAACGCCGGCGAGAGGGCGGGCGGGAGAUGCAGCGGGGGCGGGAGCACGAGCAGCGCGGCGGGGCCCCGCGAGUGUGCGCGCUCCCGCCGUGCGCGUCGCCGUCUCCUCCCUCUCGGCUCCGUGCGCGGGGAGGGCGCGCCGCGAGGGGGCGGCCGCGGAGCUCCGAGCCCCCCCCGGGCACUGAGAGCCGGAGCUGGGCGGGCGGGAGGGAGGGAGCGGGGCCGGGGAGAGGCGAUGCGGAGGAGCGGUUGGCUUUUUUUUUUUUUUUUUUUUUUUUCAAAAAGGGGGGGGGGGAAAAAAAAAAAAAAAAAAAAAAAAAAAAAGAAGAAGAAGAAAAUACUAGCGGGGAUGAAAAGGGCGCCUCGCUGCUUCCCUGCUCGCUGUGCCCUUCCUCGCUGCCUCCCUCCUCCUCGCCGCUCCCCCUCUGCCCGCUGCCCCCCGACGGUAGCAGGGGAGCUUCACCCUCCGUGUCCCCCCGUAACGCGGCUGCGGGUGGGGGGCGCCGGCUCCCAGCACAAAGGAGCGUGCGUGGCUUGCGCACCCCCGCCCGUGUCGCUGCUUCGUUAUCCCGGAGGAUUAAACGGGAGGAGGCUGCGGGGGGAGGGGGGGGCGGCGGCUGCAAGGUGACCCCCGGGGGCUCUGCACCGCCCCCCUGCUCGCUCAGCACCCCCCUACCCAGCGGCUCCUUCCCCACCCCGGGCUCACCCCUUCCCCGCUGCCCAUUCCGGACGGCGCGCGGAGCCGAGACCCGACGGGGCGCCCCUCACCGCGGCUGCCCGGCCCCGCGGGACCGCUAUCUGCGCCCCUCCCGCCGCAAUACCCGCACCUGCGGGCACCCCGCUGAGAUAUGUGGUUUUAUUCUAAUUCCAAUUUUUAAUUUAUUUCUUAUUUAUUUCGUAUUUAUUUCUUCACCCCCACACCACGCGUAG
rnacentral:lncRNA from 1 species